GGAGGACUGUUGGCCCUCUGGAGUCGCCCAUUCGGGGGGAGGCUUCAAACCACCUCAUGCUGCGUUGGCUGAAGACCGUCGUGGUGAGCGAUGAGGAAAAGGCGCACUUGAUGCGUCAGGU
rfam:Micromonospora sp. CB01531 scaffold111, whole genome shotgun sequence.